rnacentral:rRNA from 1 species
UACGUAGGGUGCGAGCGUUAAUCGGAAUUACUGGGCGUAAAGCGUGCGCAGGCGGUUUUGUAAGACAGGCGUGAAAUCCCCGAGCUCAACUUGGGAAUUGCGCUUGUGACUGCAAGGCUAGAGUGUGUCAGAGGGGGUAGAAUUCCACGUGUAGCAGUGAAAUGCGUAGAGAUGUGGAGGAAUACCGAUGGCGAAGGCAGCCCCUGGACAUGACUGACGCUCAUGCACGAAAGCGUGGGGAGCAAACAGG